rnacentral:rRNA from 1 species
UACGAAGGGGGCUAGCGUUGCUCGGAAUCACUGGGCGUAAAGGGUGCGUAGGCGGGUCUUUUAAGUCAGGGGUGAAAUCCUGGAGCUCAACUCCAGAACUGCCUUUGAUACUGAAGAUCUUGAGUUCGGGAGAGGUGAGUGGAACUGCGAGUGUAGAGGUGAAAUUCGUAGAUAUUCGCAAGAACACCAGUGGCUAAGGCGGCUCUCUAGUACGGUACUGACGCUGAGACGCGAAAGCGUGGGGAGCGAACAGG